UCUCCGUUGGUGAACCAGCGGAGGGAUCAUUACAGGACUCGAAAGACUCCUUCACCCUGUGAACCUUACUACAAGCACGUUGCUUCGGCGGGUGUCCCGGCGGGGGUUUUCCCUCGCAGGGGCGAACAGCCCGCCGGCAGCAUACUAUAUUCUGUCACUUUGCGUUUGCAACUCGAGAAAAAACAAACAAGUUAAAACUUUCAACAACGGAUCUCUUGGUCCUG
rnacentral:misc_RNA from 1 species